GGAAUAUUGGACAAUGGGCGAAAGCCUGAUCCAGCAACGCCGCGUGGAGGAUGAAGGCCUUCGGGUUGUAAACUCCUGUCAGGUGGAACGAAAAACCUCAGCUAACAACUGCGCAUAUGACGGUACCCACAGAGGAAGCCGCGGCUAACUCUGUGCCAGCAGCCGCGGUAAUACAGAGGGGGCAAGCGUUAUUCGGAAUCAUUGGGCGUAAAGGGCGCGUAGGCGGCCAAGCAAGUCAGGGGUGAAAUCCCUCGGCUCAACCGAGGAAUUGCCUCUGAAACUGCAUGGCUUGAGACCGGGAGAGGGUGGUGGAAUUCCCAGUGUAGCGGUGAAAUGCGUAGAUAUUGGGAGGAACACCGGUGGCGAAGGCGGCCACCUGGACCGGUUCUGACGCUGAGGCGCGAAAGUGUGGGGAGCAAAC
rnacentral:rRNA from 1 species